rnacentral:rRNA from 1 species
AGUGGAUGGGGAGCAACCUAGUUGUGCGUGUGUAAAGGUAGUGCCAAGAAAAGCGAUGAUCAUGUUGAAAAUCAAUUCCCGGUACCCGAAACCGACACAGGUGGGCAAGUAGAGAAUACUAAGGGGCGCGAGGUAACUCUCUCCAAGGAACUCGGCAAAAUGACCCCGUAACUUAGGGAGAAGGGGUGCCACCGAGAGGUGGUCGCAGUGAAGAGGCCCAGGCGACUGUUUAGCAAAAACAUAGGUCUCUGCAAACUCGAAAGAGGAGGUAUAGGGGCUGACGCCUGCCCAGUGCCGGAAGGUUAAAGAAGUUGGUCAGUUUUAGGAUGAAGCUAGCGACUGAAGCCCCGGUGAACGGCGGCCGUAACUAUAACGGUCCUAAGGUAGCGAAAUUCCUUGUCGGGUAAGUUCCGACCCGCACGAAAGGCGUAACGAUCUGGGCGCUGUCUCGGAGAGAGGCUCGGCGAAAUAGGAUUGUCUGUGAAGAUACGGACUACCUGCAUUUGGACAGAAAGACCCUAUGAAGCUUUACUAUAGCUUGGAAUUGUGUUCGGGCUUCCUGCGCGCAGGAUAGGUGGGAGGCGUAGAAGGUAUUCUUGUGGGGAUACUGGAGCCAACGGUGAGAUACCACUCUCAGGAGGCUAGAAUUCUAACUUAAUUAAGGACAGUUUCAGGUGGGUAGUUUGACUGGGGCGGUCGCCUCCAAAAAGGUAACGGAGGCGUACAAAGGUUCCCUCAGACUGGUUGGAAAUCAGUCGAAGAGUGCAAAGGCAGAAGGGAGCUUGACUGCGAGAAGUACAGUUCGAGCAGGGUGGAAACACGGUCUUAGUGAUCCGACGGUGCUGUGUGGAAGGGCCGUCGCUCAACGGAUAAAAGUUACUCUAGGAUAACAGGCUGAUCUCCCCCAAGAGUUCACAUCGACGGGGAGGUUUGGCACCUCGAUGUCGGCUCAUCGCAACCUGGGGCGGAAGUACGUCCCAAGGGUUGGGCUGUUCGCCCAUUAAAGCGGUACGUGAGCUGGGUUCAGAACGUCGUGAGACAGUUCGGUCCAUAUCCGAUGUAGGCGUGAGAAUAUUGAGAGGAGCCUUCCUUAGUACGAGAGGACCGGGAAGGACGCACCGCUGGUGUACCUGUUAUGAUGCCAAUUGUAAACGCAGGGUAGCCAAGUGCGGAGAGGAUAACCGCUGAAAGCAUCUAAGUGGGAAGCCCACCUCAAGAUGAGUAUUCUGGUGUAAGGUCACGGGAAGACGACCCGUAAAUAGGCACGAGGUGGAAGUGCAGAGAUGUAUGAAGCCGAAGUGUACUAAUAGACCGUCGGCUUGACC